GGGGGUAUAGCUUAGUUGGGAGAGCGUAUGCUUUGCACGCAUAAGGUCACCGGUUCGACUCCGGUUAUCUCCA
rnacentral:tRNA from 1 species